rnacentral:rRNA from 1 species
CGCGUAGGCGGGUGAUCAAGUCCGGGGUGAAAUCUUUCGGCUCAACCGGAAAAUAGCCUUGGAUACUGGUCGUCUGGAGGGAGGUAGGGGCAUGUGGAACUUCCGGUGGAGCGGUGAAAUGUGUUGAUAUCGGAAGGAACGCCGGUGGCGAAAGCGGCGUGCUGGACCUCUUCUGACGCUGAGGCGCGAAAGCUAGGGGAGCGAACGGGAUUAGAUACCCCGGUAGUCCUAGCCCUAAACGAUGGGUACUAGAUUGUGGACUUGACAUGGGUUCACAGUCGAAGCAAAAGUUUUAAGUACCCCGCCUGGGGAGUAUGGUCGCAAGGCUGAA